rnacentral:lncRNA from 1 species
CUUUGACACCUCUCAGAGUCCUAUUAUUGUAACAAAUCAGCCAAAAUUCCAUGUUACAGUUAAAUAGUAUAGAAGACGGUUUACUGUACAAGCAAGUUGUGCAUUAAAAACAAACACACCAAGCAAAUUAUAGUGCAAAGCAAGUUUCCAUCCCUCCCCCACCCUCUUCCCGGCCCUGGGACGGUUUUACGGAAGGUAUGCGUAUAGCAGGUAUGAACACCUCAGCAUGACAAUAUGUCACAACCAAUCUGUACCCAUCACCAAUAGGCUUACAGUAAUAUGGUACCCAAACCCCUUGAUUCCUUGUGCUCUCUGAGUCAGUGUUUGCCUCGUAUGACUUUAAAGCAGCCUUGUACCACCCCAAGCUGUCUGCACCCACCAUGGGCAUUAAAAAACAAGACUCAGCACCGCUACCAUCACUUUUAAUCGGGGACUGGGCAGGGGGCGAGGGGGUCAAUUUAUUUUCCGGUCCCUGCCCCAGCCAGGGCUUGGAUAUCAGGAAGCGGGUAGUCAUCUGUUGGGGGGGGGCUACAAAGUGCUGGGCCCUGGGGACCCAAGGGUGCCUCCCCCUGGGGCCUGGGGCCCGUCCAGAACCACAGGGAACAGGAGAGAAGACACCAGGGCAGUGAAUUUGUAGCUGCUUCCUGAGGAGGAGGGGAGCUCGCCACCCUCAGAACCUGCGCCCCGCCUGAGAGUCAGUGGAAUCCCCCAGAAGCUGUUUUGAAGGGAGGAGACGUGCUUUUUUUCCAGAAGACAAACUGCAGCAAGAGGGGGGUUGAGUAAGACCACCAGAAGGACUUCCUAACCUGCCUGAGUGUGUAUCCCGUGUGCUUCUCUGGCGGUUGCUGCAGGCUGGGGUGACGGGCCUGCCAAGCCCUUCACAGCUCUUGUGAUCUGCCGUCACUCAGCCACUGCGCCCCAGCUCACACCUCUAGAACAAACGCCUGAGCGCCACAGACGUUGAGAUUCCAGCCUUUCACCAGCGCCUCCUUUGUUCCGCAGCAGGGUUACCUUUGGUGGCAGCUGGUGGGAUGCUGCUGAAGGAAUGUGACAUCUUGAGGAGGUUUUAGGGGGCGGUUAACAAUUCCACACCCUCGAGGGGUGGGGAGUAUCAUUCACUAUCAUGGGACCUUUUCCUGU